GGGGCAGCCCCACCACACGGGUCAAGGCCGGGAGCCUCUUCUGCAGGCCCUGGAGCUGGUGACCGGGGAGCAAGGGCCCUGCGAGCCUGGCCUCUGCUGAGGGCCGGGACUCACCUCCUUGUCUGUGAGCCGGAAGUCGUUCGGAUACACCAGCUGCAGAGGAAGACAGAGUGCUUGGUGACACCAUCUGUCCGAGGAGGCGACACCCCUCGACAGCAUCUGCUGGACUGUGACCGUCCCAGCAGCUGCAGCAUCUGUCUGUGGGGCGCAGGUCAGUGCCCAAGGUGCUGGCUCGCCCCCUGCUCCCUGUUCCAACAGCACGCUGCAUCCUCCCCACACCAUAUUCUCUGUGUUCCAACAGCAUGCUGCAUCCUCCCCACACCACCUUCUCUGGCUGUGAUGUCUGGCUCCUUGCUGACCCGCUCCUAUCUCUGACCUCCAGGCACCAGGCCCCGGGCAACUCCCCUGCCGGCCAGAGGCUUCUCUACUCCCACCUCCCCAGGCCCCUCUCAGUAAGAGGCCAGCACAAUUGGGGCCUGUGCCCCACCUGUAGCGCCCAGCCGGACAAGGCCUGCACCCCCAGGAGUGGACAGUGGAGGAGAGCAUGAUGCUAAGCAGGCGCUGAAUGACUUGGAAGACAGGUGUGCGCUGACAGAGGCGGCAGGUGGGGCAGAGUAAGUCUCUCUAAGGACCCUGUCCUGGUUACUUCUGCCUCCCAGCACCUGGCACAGAACAGACCCUCCCCAAAUACAGUGUUCGUGGAAUGUGUGAAGAGGUCUCUGAGGUUUACUAGAACAGGUACAGCAUGGCUCCCAGAAGCCGCGGUGUGUCCUGUCCUAGAGGGCUGAAUGCAGUGCUGAUGAGAAUCCAGCUGUUUUCCAUUUGGUCGGACUUUUUAUUUUUUAUUUAUUUAUUUUUUGAGACGGGGUCUUGCUCUGUCACCAGGCUGGAGUGCA
rnacentral:lncRNA from 1 species